rnacentral:rRNA from 1 species
CCUACGGGAGGCAGCAGUGGGGAAUAUUGCACAAUGGGGGAAACCCUGAUGCAGCGACGCCGCGUGAGUGAAGAAGUAAUUCUUUAUGUAAAGCUCUAUCUGCAGGGAAGAAAAUGACGGUACCUGAGUAAGACUCCCCGGCUAACUCCGUUCCAGCAGCCGCGGUAAUACGUAGGGGGCAAGCGUUAUCCGGAUUUACUGGGCGUAAGGGGAGCGUAGACGGCAGUGCAAGUCUGUGGUGAAAGGCGGGGGCUCAACCCCCGGACUGCUCUGGAAACUGUACGGCUGGAGAGCAGGAGCGGUAAGUGGAAUUCCUAGUGUAGCGGUGAAAUGCGUAGAGAUUAGGAGGAACACCAGUGGCGAAGGCGGCUUACUGGACUGUAACUGACGUUGAGGCUCGAAAGCGUGGGGAGCAAACAGGAUUAGAUACCCGAGUAGUC